rnacentral:tRNA from 1 species
GCCCCCAUCGUCUAGCGGCCUAGGACGUGGCCCUCUCAAGGCCAAAACCGGGAUUCGAAUUCCCGUGGGGGCACCA